CCUACGGGUGGCAGCAGUGAGGAAUAUUGGUCAAUGGGCGAGAGCCUGAACCAGCCCAGUCGCGUGAAGGAUGACGGCCCUACGGGUUGUCAACUUCUUUUGUCAGGGAGCAAUUGAGUCCACGUUUGGGCUUAGCGAGAGUACCUGAAGAAAAAGCAUCGGGUAACUCCGUGCCAGCAGCCGCGGUAAUACGGAGGAAUCGAGCGUUAUCCGGAUUUAUUGGGUUUAAAGGGGACGUAGGCGGUAUGUCAAGUCAGCGGUAAAAAUUCGGGGCUCAACCCCGUCGUGCCGUUGAAACUGAUGUUCUUGAGUGGGCGAGAAGUAUGCGGAAUGCGUGGUGUAGCGGUGAAAUGCAUAGAUAUCACGCAGAACUCCGAUUGCGAAGGCAGCAUACCGGCGCCCAACUGACGCUGAAGCACGAAAGCGUGGGUAUCGAACAGGAUUAGAUACCCUAGUAGUC
rnacentral:rRNA from 1 species